CGGUGAAGCCACCAACACUGCCAGAGAGGGCAGUGGAAACUGAAAGGAAAAGCCGCCCUCUACCAGCAAAGGCUUAGGUUCUGGGAUGCUCCUAGGAUGGCCCGGUACCACCGGCAGCCGUCCACAACCGAGUGGGUCGAUAUUCUGAAGGAGAAAUACAUGUGGAAGGAACAAAUACGGAAGAAAAUGCCAAUCUGAUCACCGAUGUCCUGCUACUCUGUGGGAAAUGGGAACUCAGCGGAGAGCAGCUGGGGACGGAUGCUGAUAACGAUGGAACCAUUCCAUGCUCACACCCUAACAAGAAAUGUAAGCAUUUGGAGGCCAAAACAUGUGUCAGCUGUGCUUUAAAGAAAGCAAAUGGACUUUUCGGAACCCCCUGGGUCUGAUUUCAUCCAAUGUGACUCCUGAAUACUAACCUACACAGAAACUCUAUAAACUUUCCUGGACAUACAGAGAAAACAUGGAUUUAAUUCACGUUCUGUUCAACUGCUUAACUUUGCAAAACUGAUUUAGAAAAUAUGGUCUGAGAAUUUUAAAGAAAUUUCUCAUGUCUGUAUCUUGAGCUUGGAUGGGGUUGGGGGGAACUGUGCCCUGGCUACACUGAACUGGACCCGGCAAAUCUCAUGGGAGAUCUGCUCCAUGCUGGGCAGCGUCCAGGCUCUGAGAAAUAAACAAGACUGAUGUGGCCUGCAGUGUUGGAACACGGGGGUCAUGAUACACUAGACUGUGAGUUAAAAUAAUAAUUCAGCAUGCUUCCUGCACAACGGAAGUAUCUAGGAAGUGAUGGGAUGUCGCCUUCACCUAAAAGCCUGUACAAGGGGUGGAACCCCUGGA